CACUGGUAUGAUUUGUCUGUUCCAAAUUGGCUGUGUUUCAAACCAACCUCUCUGCUUGUAAUUUUAUUUUGAGCUAAUGGAAAGCAAUCUCUUUGAGUUUACUUCUAGUUGAUUUGGUCUCUGUUUUAUGAUAUACAACUAUAGUCAUAUGAAUAUGGCAUGCAUACACACACAUACAUACAUACGUACAUACAUACAUGCACAGUGCAUACAUACGCACAUGCAUAUAUGCAUAUGUGUGAGCACGUCCGCGUUGCAUAUGAACGGACAUGUAUGUGUCCCGCAUUUUUUUGAGACUACAUUUUGUCUUUGUAUCACGUAUUGUGCAACAUCUUGGUGUGCUGUUUUAGUAACCGUGUGUCAUAAUCCUUAACUCAUUUGGCCUGAGCAAGCCUACUAAUAUAAACUAUAGUAGCAUGGUACAUUUGCUUAAAUGGCUUUAGGUUAGCGCAUUGCAUUUCUUCACUGUCGGUGCUUGGUUAAUAUCUCAUAUACAUCAUAUAACUAUCUUAAAUUCUGUUACAAAAUCAUGGGAAGCACUUGGAAUCUUGGUUAGCAAGUUCACAUUUAUGCAAACUUUAUGUAGAUCUCAAUUUAGUUCUUUUCUGAACCAAAUUAUAUGUUUACUUUUUCAUUCUACAAACUAGGAUACAACUCACUGCUAAUUGAGUAAGCUGGAUGAUAUUCAUAUCAUCUGAUUAUUAGGCAGGCAUGGUCAGGGUUAAGUAAGCUUAUCGAGUCAGGUUUGGGCCAGCCUAGUGCAGGUCUGGUCAAAACUGAUUUGCCUGUAUACCUGAUUGCAACCGCUAUUGUAGGGCUAUAUGAAAUUGGUCAAAAUGGGUAAAAGGUAACUUCCAUUUGAUGCUGAUUUUGCUUGGUAUUUGGCUUCAGGUUGACCAGCUUAGACUAGGGAUUAAUGUCCAUCGACUGUAUGUUGGUGGACGUGAUAUUGGAAUGCCUAGAUGGAGGUGACAAAAGAAUAGGGUUAUUUUCACAAAGCCUUCCUCAACUUUUGGGGGUUGGUGGUGUUGCACAGGAAAUAUGUGAAAGAAAAUUCAUUACAAGUUGCACUUAGAAAUAAACCUACAGAAGUGAGUGUUGAUAACUGUGAUUGGCUAGUUAAGGAACGUUAUUUUUCUUCAAAAUUCUAGGUAUUAAUCUCCUAAUUUUAUUAAUUUUGUUCCAUGUAUAUUAUUAGAUUGUUGAAAUUAUCUUUUAAUCUUGAUGUAUAGAAAGCAAGCCAACAAAAUACACUUAACAGAGGCAAAAGAAAGAUGCUCCACCACACGGGCAGCAAACCCUUUAGACAAAUUGCGUGGGAAUUGGGUGGCAAGUCAGGAAAUCCACCUGAUAUGGCACAAAUGUUUCAUGAAACUCGAAAGGAAGCUAAUGAAAUACUAGAUAUUGGAGAUCAAGAUAAAUAUGAUGAAAUUGUUCAAGUCAAAUAAGCAAACUCUUCACUUUCUGACAUUGAGAUAGUUGAGAAAAUCUGGGGAAAGCAAUCUCAUGGUCACAUCACAGUAUUUGGUGGCGGGACUACUUUGAAAGAUUUGAGAGGACUGCUCCCUAGUCGAUCUGAUCUGGAAGCACGAGUUAUAGAAGAAAAAAGAAAGAACCAGAUACUUUAACAAUGCUUAGAUGAGCAGGAGCAACAACAACAAAGGAUGUCUGAGUUGGAGUCACAAGUGAAAGCUAUGCAAGAACUUUUUUUAG